GCCGUUAUAGCUUAGUGGUAAAGCACGAUAUUGGUAAUAUCGAGACCGUGAGUCCGAUUCUCACUGACGGCU
rnacentral:tRNA from 1 species